GACGAACGCUGGCGGCGUGCUUAACACAUGCAAGUCGAACGGAAAGGCCUCUUUCGGGGGGUACUCGCGUGGCGAACGGGUGAGUAACACGUGAGUAACCUGCCCUUCACUUUGGGAUAACUUCAGGAAACUGGGGGUAAUACCUGCUAGAUGCUCCUGCUGCAUGGUGGGGGUUGGAAAGUUUCGGCGGUUGGGGGUGGCCUGGCGGGUUAUCAGCUUGUUGGUGGGGUAGUGGCUUACCAAGGCUUUGCCGGGUAGCCGGCCUGAGAGGGUGACCGGCCACAUUGAGACUGAGAGACGGCCCAGGUUCCUAAGGGAGGGAGCAGUGGGGAAGAUUGAACAAGGGGUGGAAGCCUGAUGCAGCAACGCCGUGUGCGGGAUGACGGCCUUCGGGUUGUAAACCGCAUUCGCUCAUGACGAAGCUUUGUGUGACGGUAGUGGGUAAAGAAGCACCGGCUAACUACGUG
rnacentral:rRNA from 1 species